ensembl:miRNA MIR3936 microRNA 3936
AUGAUUCAGAGCAUCUGUCCAGUGUCUGCUGUAGAUCCCUCAAAUCCGUGUUUGGACGCUUCUGGUAAGGGGUGUAUGGCAGAUGCACCCGACAGAUGCACUUGGCAGCA